CUCGUAGGCGGUUCGACAAGUCGGGUGUGAAAACUCCGGGCUCAACCCGGAGACGCCACCCGAUACUGUCGUGACUGGAGUCCGGUAGGGGAGUGGGGAAUUCCUGGUGUAGCGGUGAAAUGCGCAGAUAUCAGGAGGAACACCGGUGGCGAAGGCGCCACUCUGGGCCGGUACUGACGCUGAGGAGCGAGAGCGUGGGUAGAAC
rnacentral:rRNA from 1 species